CAGAUUUGGACUUGUUUUGAUUUCACUGCAAAAUUGUGCAAGGAUUCUGCCAACAGCAAGGCCAAUGUGUCUGAAAACAGAUGGCAUUUCCAGUACCUAAAGCCUGGUCAGUGAUUGCUUUGAGUCUGUAAGGUCAUUCUGGUUGAAGGCAUGAAGAUGAGGACAUCAAAGCCUUUGCCCAUUUAUGACAAUUACUCUGGAGACAAACACAGCUCAGAAGACAAAUGUUAUGAGCUACCUGUAAGUUCUGGUUCACAAAACAGAUGAGAAUCCAACGAUACUUCUGAACUUGGAAAUGAAAUUUAUUCUCAAGGUGGAGCCUCAUCUUGAGCAGCAUUGGGAGGGCCAAAGGUGCUUCCUUUUCCAGUUCCCUGCCUGAAUUUUAGAAGAUACCAUUUUUUAGCAUCUAGACAAGGAAAUCACAGCAAUUUCCAUGGGAAGAAUCACAGAGAUGGCAGGGCUUCCCCCCAAAACACUGCCUGUGUAAUUGCUGAAGACAUUCCAAGCCACUCUAACGAAGUGCUGUCUGCCAGUCAUUAUGUUCUCCUUGGAGGACCAUCUGUUGCA